CCUAAUAUAUGCAAGUCGAACUAUACAGCCACCUUCGGGUGGUGGGAAGUGGCAGACGGGUGAGUAACGCGUGGGAACGUGCCUUUCGGUUCGGAAUAACCCAGGGAAACUUGGGCUAACAGACGGAUACGCCCUUCGGGGGAAAGAUUACGGGGCCGAAAGAUCGGCCCGCGUCGGAUUAGCUUGUUGGUGGGGUAAUGGCUCACCAAGGCGACGAUCCAUAGCUGGUCUUAUACGGAUGACCAGCCACACUGGGACUGAGGAACGAGCUGGAGCCUACGGGAGGCAGCAGUGGGGAAUAUUGGGAAAUGGGCGAAAGCCUGAUCCAGCCAUGCCGCGUGGGUGAAGAAGGCCUUAGGGUUGUAAACCCCUUUCAGCGGGGAAGAUAAUGACGGUACCCGCAGAAGAAGUCCCGGCUAACUCCGUGCCAGCAGCCGCGGUAACAGAGGAGGGGACUAGCGUUGUUCGGAAUUACUGGGCGUAAAGCGCACGUAGGCGGAUUUGUAAGUCAGGGGUGAAAUCCCGGGGCUCAACCUCGGAACUGCCUUUGGAAGAUGCAAAUCUCGAGUCCGGAAGAGGUGAGUGGAAUUCCUAGUGUAGAGGUGAAAUUCGUAGAUAUUAGGAAGAACACCAGUGGCGAAGGCGGCUCACUGGUCCGGUACUGACGCUGAGGUGCGAAAGCGUGGGGAGCAAACAGGAUUAGGAA
rnacentral:rRNA from 1 species